GCGCGGGAGGCAUUCGGGUAUGCAUUUGACACCUUGUUCAUAAAUAAGCAUAAAGACUGACUAACCAGUAAUGAAAAGAAGCUACAGUUUGAGCCUCUCCUAGCAAAGUUCAAGUCAUCUCAAGGAAAGGUUACAAGAUGAAGUUACUAGGUUGGAUGCAUCGCAUGUUUCGGCAGAAUAGCAACGAUCCAUUUAAAGUUUCCGUCGUUGAACAUUCUUGUGGUUGUCUUUCAGGGCAGCCAUCGCUCGACGAUCAACAAUACUAUCAGAAGUCAAACUGGGGCACGAAACCCUUCACGCAAGCCCCGAAAGAUCAGCACCUUGGAAAAUCUUUCAACAGUCUAGAAGCAGCCAGGACAGAAGAAGAAUACUAUGAAGAGGAAUCAUCUGCUGAGGCAUCUGAGCUCUUCCAUGGCUUUCUAGCAAUCGGCACCCUUGGAAGCUUGGACCAAGUGAACACGGAACCAUCAACCCCAAUGCUUGGAAUCUCCGUGGAGAACAUAACCGCAAAAGAAACUGAGGCCGCGGAGAACGAGUUGAAUCUCAUCAAUGACGAAUUGGAGAAAGUGCUAGUGGCUGAUCCGGCGAAGGAUGAUAUUUGCAAUGAUUCAUCUGGAAGAAACAGCUAUGUCAGCAAUGGAAGAAGUAGCCAAGGAAGCACCAUUACGCUAAGCGGGAAGGCACUGGAAGGCGCAGAGAACAAUGGGAAUAAUGGAACGGCGGUGUGCCCGCUCCAGGGAUAUCUUUUCGGGUCGGGAUAUGUGUUGUCUGAAACAAUAAUAGUGGCAAAGCAGGAACACAGGACAUCUCUUGGUGAGCUGUUCCAGAGGACUAAAUUGGCUGAGGAGAUCUCCGGAGCAGAAUUGAUCAAAGAGGAGAAGCAAGCGGAUAAGUCCGCCAUGCACUUAAUCAAAAAGAUGCUCAAGAAAAAAAUGCUUCACGCUUCUUCUCGUGGCUCCGGCAUAGCUGCUGAUCAUGCUUCAGCAGAAACAAAACUCAAUAAGAUCCUUCACAUGUUCCGUAGAAAAGUUCACCCUGAGACCUCGGCGGCUGAGCGAAAACCCGGUAAGUACAAAGGGAACCAAAGCAGGAAGAAACCAAGCAGUGAGGGGACUUGCAACAAUGGAGAUCAGGAUGAAGACAUCUUGUUAUAUCCUCAACAAGGAUUUUCUUCAAAUCAGAGCAUGCGGCUCUACAAGAGCCAAUCAAACCCACCCCAAUUUGUGCUUAGCGGCAUGAAUUCAAAUGAGAACAGGGGGCACUGGAUCAAAACAGGUGCAGACUGUAAGUCCAUUAUGCACCAACUCAUUUCAAAAUACAAUGUAGAAUACCAAUCAACCCCUUUUGUUUGAUCUUGGUCUUUCCUCAACAAUGACUACAUGCAAAGCACUUAAAAAUGAAUACUUAAUAGCAUAGCCUCUGACUACUGUUACUGUUAACAAGAAACACUUCAAGAAUCAAAUUAUAGAAAAUAACGCUUCACAUAUCAAGUGUUAAUGUCAGGUACAAUAACAUUUGAUUCAGUGUCUUUCUUUGAAACUGUGCUUAUCUGAGAAGAGCCCUAAAAUUAUGCAGAAAAACUCCUUGCCUCAACAAAUAAUGUCAGACCUAAUCCUGGAGCUGUGAAAGGAUAAGAGAUUCAAGUUGGGUUUUUCGAAUUGUGACUGCUUGAUUAGUAAGAAGUGUUUCUACAGAUUGAUUAGUGUUUGUAAGAGUGAGAUUCUACUUGUUUGUAUCAAAGAACAUGUUAUCUACCCCUUUGAUUGCAUGCGGUGUCGUUUUGUAGUUUCC